CCUACGGGAGGCAGCAGUGAGGAAUAUUGGUCAAUGGCCGCGAGCCUGAACCAGCCAAGUAGCGUGAAGGAUGAAUGCUCUACGGGUUGUAAACUUCUUUUAUAAAGGAAUAAAGUUAUGCACGUGUGCCUUUUUGUAUGUACUUUAUGAAUAAGCAUCGGCUAACUCCGUGCCAGCAGCCGCGGUAAUACGGAGGAUCCGAGCGUUAUCCGGAUUUAUUGGGUUUAAAGGGAGCGUAGAUGGGUUGUUAAGUCAGUGGUGAAAGUUUGCGGCUCAACCGUAAAAUUGCAAUUGAUACUGGAAGACUUGAGUGUGUUUGAGGUAGGCGGAAUUCGUGGUGUAGCGGUGAAAUGCUUAGAUAUCACGAAGAACUCCGAUUGCGAAGGCAGCUUACUAAGCUGUCACUGACAUUGAUGCUCGAAAGUGUGGGUAUCAAACAGGAUUAGAUACACGUGUAGUC
rnacentral:rRNA from 1 species